GACGAACGCUGGCGGCGUGCUUAACACAUGCAAGUCGAACGAAGUGGCGAACGGGUGAGUAACGCGUAAUCAACCUGCCCAUCAGAGGGGGAAAAUAGUUGGAAACGACUGCUAAAACCGCAUACGGAAGGAGGGGAAUGUGUCUGAUGAGCUAGUUGGAGGGGUAACGGCCCACCAAGGCGAUGAUCAGUAGCCUGGCUGAGGAGAUGAACGGCCACAUUGGGACGGGGACACGGCCCAGAAUCCUACGGGAGGCAGCAGUGGGGAAUCUUCCGCAAUUGACGGAAGUCUGACGGAACAACGCCGCGUGAGUGAUGUCGGCCUUCGGGUUGUAAAGCUCUGUUAAUCGGGACGCGGUACCGGAAUAGAACGCCACGGCUAACUACGUGCCAGCAGCCGCGGUAAUUC
rnacentral:rRNA from 1 species